ACGAACGCUGGCGGCGUGCUUAACACCUGCAAGUCGAACGGAAAGGCCCUGCUUUUGUGGGGUGCUCGAGUGGCGAACGGGUGAGUAACACGUGAGUAACCUGCCCUUGACUUUGGGAUAACUUCAGGAAACUGGGGCUAAUACCGGAUAGGAGCUCCUGCUGCAUGGUGGGGGCUGGAAAGUUUCGGCGGUUGGGGAUGGACUCGCGGCUUAUCAGCUUGUUGGUGGGGUAGUGGCUUACCAAGGCUUUGACGGGUAGCCGGCCUGAGAGGGUGACCGGCCACAUUGGGACUGAGAUACGGCCCAGACUCCUACGGGAGGCAGCAGUGGGGAAUAUUGCACAAUGGGCGGAAGCCUGAUGCAGCAACGCCGCGUGCGGGAUGACGGCCUUCGGGUUGUAAACCGCUUUCGCCUGUGACGAAGCGUGAGUGACGGUAAUGGGUAAAGAAGCACCGGCUAACUACGUG
rnacentral:rRNA from 1 species